AAUACAAGGCAGACGGCUCAGUAACGCGUAGUCAACCUACCCUAUGGACGGGAAUAACCUCGGGAAACUGAGUAUAAUGCCCGAUAGAGCACUAUACCUGGAAUGGUUUGUGUUUCAAAUGAUUUAUUGCCGUAGGAUGGGACUGCGGCCUAUCAGUUUGUUGGUGAGGUAAUGGCCCACCAAGACUAUUACAGGUACGGGCUCUGAGAGGAGUGGCCCGGAGAUGGGUACUGAGACACGGACCCAGGCCCUAUGGGGCGCAGCAGGCGAGAAAACUUUGCAAUGUGCGAAAGCACGACAAGGUUAAUCCGAGUGGUUUCUGCUAAAGGAACCUUUUGACAGUCCUAGAAACACUGUUGAAUAAGGGGUGGGCAAGUUCUGGUGUCAGCCGCCGCGGUAAAACCAGCACCUCAAGUGGUCAGGAUGAUUAUUGGGCCUAAAGCAUCCGUAGCCGGCUCAGUAAGUUUUCGGUUAAAUCUGUACGCUCAACGUACAGGCUGCCGGGAAUACUGCAGAGCUAGGGAGUGGGAGAGGUAGACGGUACUCGGGAGGAAGUGGUAAAAUGCUUUGAUCUUUCGAUGACCACCUGUGGCGAAGGCGGUCUACCAGAACACGUCCGACGGUGAGGGAUGAAAGCUGGGGGAGCAAACCGGAUUAGAUACCCGGGUAGUCCCAGCUGUAAACUAUGCAAACUCAGUGAUGCAUUGGCUUG
rnacentral:rRNA from 1 species